GGGCCCGCACAAGCGGUGGAGUAUGUGGUUUAAUUCGACGCAACGCGCAGAACCUUACCCAGUCUUGACAUCCUUUGCUCACCAUAGAGAUAUGGUUUCCUCCUUCACGGGAGGCAGAGUGACAGGUGCUGCAUGGCUGUCGUCAGCUCGUGUCGUGAGAUGUUCGGUUAAGUCCGGUAACGAGCGCAACCCCUAUCCUUAGUUGCCAAUUAUGGAACUCUAGGGAGACUCCCGGUGUUAAACCGGAGGAAGAUGGGGAUGACGUCAAGUCCUCAUGGCCCUUACGACUGGGGCUACACACGUACUACAAUGGCAUCUACAAUGGGAUGCAAUAGGGUGACCUGGAGCUAAUCCCCAAAGGCCGUCUCAGUUCGGAUUGUUCUCUGCAACUCGAGAACAUGAAGUCGGAAUCGCUAGUAAUCGU
rnacentral:rRNA from 1 species